GAUGAACGCUGGCGGCGUGCCUAAUACAUGCAAGUCGAGCGAACGGACCAGAUGUUUGCGCCGCUGAUGUUAGCGGCGGACGGGAGAGUAACACGUGGAUAACCUACCUAUAAGACUGUGAUAACUUUGGGAAACAGGAGCUAAUACCGGAUAAUAUUUUGAACCGCAUGGUGCAAACGUUAAAUACGGUCUUUCUUGCGCUAAUAGAUGGCCCCGCGCUGCAUUAGUUAGUUGUUAAGGUAACGGCUUACCAAGGCAACGAUGCAUAGCCGACCUGAGAGCGAGGUCGGACACACUGGAAGUGAGACACGGCAGAGACUCCUAGGGGAGGCAGCAGUAGGGAAUCCUCCGCGAUGGGGGAAUGCCUGAUGUAACAACGCGGCGUGAGUGAUGAAGGUCUCCGGAUCGUAAAGCUCUGUUAGUAGGAAGGAAGUAAUGUGUAAGUAACUGUGAAGAUAAUGACGGUACCUAAACAGAAAGCCACGGCUAACUACGUG
rnacentral:rRNA from 1 species